rnacentral:rRNA from 1 species
AGAGCGAACGCUGGCGGCGUGCCUAACACAUGCAAGUCGAACGUGAACGGGGGCAACUCCUAGUAAAGUGGCGUACGGGUGAGUAACACGUAGGUAAUCUACCUUAGAGUCUGGGAUAACCUGCCGAAAGGCGGGCUAAUACUGGAUAGAGCGACGGAAGCCGUAAUGGUUUUUUCGGGAAAGGGAGCCUGAUAAGGGCCUUUGCUCUAAGAUGAGCCUGCGUCUGAUUAGUUAGUUGGUGGGGUAAUGGCCUACCAAGACGAUGAUCAGUAGCUGGUCUGAGAGGAUGACCAGCCACAUUGGGGACUGAGACACGGCCCAGACUCCUACGGGAGGCAGCAGUGGGGAAUAUUGCGCAAUGGGGGAAACCCUGACGCAGCGACGCCGCGUGUGGGAUGACGGCCUUCGGGUUGUAACCACUGUCGCGAGGGACGAAAAAAAUGACGGUACCUCGAAGGAAGCACCGGCGUAACUCUGUGCCAGCAGCCGC